rnacentral:rRNA from 1 species
ACAUGCAUACAACAUAAUGUUAAUGCACCAAAUCCCAUUAAAACUCCACAGUUAAGCACGCUAAGGCUAGAGUAGUACUGGGAUGGGUGAUCGCUCAAGAAGUCCUAGUAUUUUACAUGCC